GGGGCUGAUUCUGGAUUCGACGGGAUUUGCGAAACCCAAGGUGCAUGCCGAGGGGCGGUUGGCCUCGUAAAAAGCCGCAAAAAAAUAGUCGCAAACGACGAAACCUACGCUUUAGCAGCUUAAUAACCUGCUUAGAGCCCUCUCUCCCUAGCCUCCGCUCUUAGGACGGGGAUCAAGAGAGGUCAAACCCAAAAGAGAUCGCGCGGAUGCCCUGCCUGGGGUUGAAGCGUUAAAACGAAUCAGGCUAGUCUGGUAGUGGCGUGUCCGUCCGCAGGUGCCAGGCGAAUGUAAAGACUGACUAAGCAUGUAGUACCGAGGAUGUAGGAAUUUCGGACGCGGGUUCAACUCCCGCCAGCUC
rnacentral:tmRNA from 1 species